rnacentral:rRNA from 1 species
UCGACUGAGCCCGACAU